AAUAAAACCCAAAGGCGUAAUGAAAGUAAAAAAAGAUAAGUAAAGAUUGUAAAAAAAGGAAAAGUUAAUUUUUUUUCUUUUUUUUUUUUUCUUUUCUUUUACUACUUUUAAGGGAAGAUAAAAAUCUUAUUAUUUAUUAAUAAUUUUUUCUCUUGUAGGAAAGAUUAUUAUUUAUAAUUUAGAUUUUUCGUAUUCCCGGGGCGCUUGUUUCACGCUUUUGCGUGUCAAUGCGCACCUAGAGCGUACACGAUGAUACCCGAAAGAUGGUGAACUAUGCCUGGCCAGGACGAAGCCAGGGGAAACCCUGGUGGAGGUCCGCAGCGAUUCUGACGUGCAAAUCGAUCGUCGGAGCUGGGUAUAGGGGCGAAAGACCAAUCGAACCAUCUAGUAGCUGGUUCCCUCUGAAGUUUCCCUCAGGAUAGCUUGCGCUCGGUUGAGAAGAGUCUCAUCCGGUAGAGCGAAUGAUUAGAGGCAUUGGGGUCGAAACGACCUCAACCUAUUCUCAAACUCCAAAUAGAUGAGACCCCCGGCUUUCUUAAAA
rnacentral:rRNA from 1 species